ACUUUUACAUAAACAUUUCAUAACUUUCAUAAUUUCUCUUAUGCUCUCAAAAACGGUUCAUGGCAACAAACUAACAACUUCAUAAUUGUGAUUACAGAUCUCAAUACAGUUUGUUGACAAUCUAAGAGAAAUGAUAAUGUGCUCAAGAACAAUCCAUGAAUAUCCAGAUUUGUGAAGAGCAACAUUCAUAAAGAUUGAAGACCCUUUUGUUUUACGUCUUUUAUUCUUUCUGUAAUAAAUCUUUG
rnacentral:lncRNA from 1 species